AAAAACUUAGGUUAAUUAAACCAAGGGCCUUCAAAGCCCUAAAUAAGGACGAAUGCCCUUAGUUUUUGA
rnacentral:tRNA from 1 species